ensembl:lncRNA
GAAUCAAACGGGAGAUGCCGGUAGAAGAAGUUGCCGAAAGCCAGGCUGGAAUGGGCCGGAGCUGCGCGCCGCCGGCCCCGUCGCGCAGCGGAGCAGCCGAACUUUGUGGGGUCUGAGCGUUUGUCCCCUCUGCGAACGGGAGAGCCAGCACCGCACCGCGCACCUGGAGCCUGACCGAGCCUGGGGCAGAGCCAAGGGGGCAUUUCUGUCUCAACAAGGACCAUCGCCUCUGAAACAAAACAAAAAAAAAAAAUAAAAUAAAGCUGGAGAAGGGCAAUUUAUCUUUCUUUUCCAGAUGAUUGAAAAUAUCUACAGGAUCCUGUCUCUCCGGUGUUCAUCGGUGAGUAGCGUAAGGGACAGGCGGCUGAGGAACAAAAAUGAUAUCGGUCAAAAUCAUUCCAGCACCUACUUUUUCCUAAGGAACUUCAUGCCCAUAGGGGUUUUCUGCGGGCAUUUCCAGGAGUGAGGCGAGGUACCACAGAUGCAUCCCGACCGGAUCAUGUAAGAAUUUGCAAAUGAGAAACGUACCCCAUCCAGACCUUCUCUGCCCGCUUUGCAGUACAUGGUUUGGUGUAAGCACAGCAAUUCUCACCUCUUUCUCUCCCUUUUAAGUCUCUUGAGCUUGGAGACCUCUUUCCUCAUUGCAAUUAUGAUUAUUUGCAACAUCAGCGCCAUCAAAGAUUGGAGCACUUUCCUUUCCCAAAUCCUCCCCAGCGUUAACAAGACUCUGAACUUGGUACAGCAAGUGGAAGCCACCACCAGCUCGGUGGUGAGUGUCCUCCAGGACCCCGAGCAGGACAACUACCUGUCCAAUAGCCAGUCCAUGAACUCCAGCAACUUCACAGCUGGCCUGGACCACUUGUUCCAGUACUCAUACUCGGACAAUGACCAGCUCUACAAGGAGUACAAACCCCCUCCUCGAGAUGCCAUUCCUCUGCCCAAGGCUGUCCUCUACCUCCUCAUGGCAGCCCUGGUGGUGGUGGCAGUGGCGUACGCCAUCGUCGGGCAUCUCAUCAAGGACCUCAUCUAUGACUUUGUAGACUGGAUCUUCGGCCCCAACCCGGAUGACAACAGCAACAAGAGCGACAUCAACUGCAUCAGCAACAGCGUCAACGAGAUGAGCGAGCUGCCCGAGGCGCCGCAGCGGCAUCCCCGGGAGCGGCAGCCCCAGGACGUGGUCAUUGCCAUCAGCGAGACCUGUCACCUGCCGCAGCAAACGUGACCGGCGCCACGCCCGGGCCGGGCGGGAUGGAGCAGCGGGAUCGGCAAGGAGCAGCGGGAUGCACAGGAGGGAUGGAGCAGCGGGAUGGAGCCAUGGAACAGAGCAGCAGCCGCCCCGCAGGGCCGGGCGGGGAGAGGAUGGGAUGGGCAGAGCCGGCGCCCUGGAGCAAAGACCUCCUCCCCCUGGUUGUACCAGCCUCUAAGGACCUUGUGGGGGUGGGUGGCAUCACCCCUUCUCCCAGGCUUGUCAGCCCUUGGGUUUGUGACCCCCUCUUUGUUCCCUGUGAAUAGCAAAAAAGAAAAAGCGAAUGCAAAAUACACCCACCAGACAAAGCUUGCAAGAGGAAUGAGCUGCAGAGAGAGGCCGGGCAGUCCUUUGGCAUGUGGCUGUCCUGUGGUGUGGGAAUGGGGUGGGGAAAAGGGCAAAGGAAACAAGGAGGCUGCAGAGAAAUGUGGUGUCUGCACUUCUGGGGACAGGCCCAGGGCACAGCAGGGAGCUGGGAGCUGCAGAAAGGCACAGAAAGGUCGGCAGGGGCCAAAUCCCCCAGUACAUUGGUGAUCUGCCUGGUCCAUCACUCCUGCAGCUCCAGCUCACAGCCCUUUCCAGCAGGUGUGUCCUGUGGCUCUGGGACAGCAGGGUGACAGCCCAAGCUGCCCAGGGAGCCUGAUUCCUCUGGGCCUGUAACCAAACCAGGGCCAUCACAUUCCCUCCAACACACCUCUGCUUGAGCCCAGCACCUCCUGGCAGGGAGCAGCCCUGUUGGGACCAGGUACAACCCCUUUUUCUGAGGAAAUGUUGCUGGAGAGGAGAUCAGGGACCCAUCUGCAUGAAAUCCAAACUCUUUGUGGGGGAAAACAGCCCUUGUAUGUCUGCAUCCUUCAGCCUCAUCCCAGUGUGAGCACCUCCUACAUCACCCUCAGAAUUCCUGCCACCCCAAGGGAUGCUGGCUCUGUACUGGGGUCAGCCCCAUGUGCAGUGAUGGAGCAGAGACACCUCCCUG